UUCAACCGAACAGACUUCAAAUAAUGUGCUUUCCAAGGAAGGGGAGAGACAAAACAAAGAUGAGAGAAAGAGAAAAAGAGAUGGAAAUUAUAUGGGCUUUAUACAUAUGGCCAGCACAGAUGCCGAAAAUGGGCUUACCUUAGCCCUAAGGCAUGCAAAGAAUCUUGUGCUCCGCCUUUUAUCUCUGGAUUUAUGAGAAUAAAUAAGUCUGAAAAACAUUAAAAAUAAAAUGGAUUU
rnacentral:lncRNA from 1 species